rnacentral:rRNA from 1 species
UACGUAGGGUGCAAGCGUUGUCCGGAAUUAUUGGGCGUAAAGAGCUCGUAGGCGGUCUGUCGCGUCGGCUGUGAAAACCCGGGGCUCAACCCCGGGCCUGCAGUCGAUACGGGCAGACUAGAGUGCGGUAGGGGAGACUGGAAUUCCUGGUGUAGCGGUGAAAUGCGUAGAUAUCAGGAGGAACACCGGUGGUGUAGACGGCUCUCUGGGCCGAAACUGACGCUGAGGAGCGAAAGCGUGGGGAGCAAACAGG